rnacentral:lncRNA from 1 species
AAUAUAAGCCACUCAUCACUAUCAGACUGCAUUGCGUAAAGCGUAGUGAAAGGGAGUUUCCUUUUCAGGUAGCACAUGUGACCUACCGAGCCACCCAGGACUCUUUUCUGUGCCCAGGUAAGCAGAGGCUAUGCUCUAAUAUCUGAUGGAUGAGUCAUCUUCAAAUGCAGCUUCAUCAGCUUUUUCAUGUUUUCCUUAUGCUUUAAUCCCAUGACCACAGCAAAGCUGACUAAAUGCCUUGUUUUCCU